UACAGAGGUCUCAAGCGUUGUUCGGAUUCAUUGGGCGUAAAGGGUGCGUAGGUGGCGGGGUAAGUCAGGUGUGAAAUCUCGAGGCUCAACCUCGAAACUGCACUUGAUACUGCCUUGCUAGAGUACUGGAGAGGAGAUUGGAAUUUACGGUGUAGCAGUGAAAUGCGUAGAUAUCGUAAGGAAGACCAGUGGCGAAGGCGAAUCUCUGGACAGUUCCUGACGCUGAGGCACGAAGGCCAGGGGAGCAAACGGG
rnacentral:rRNA from 1 species